GAUGAAGAACGCAGCGAAAUGCGAUAAGUAGUGUGAAUUGCAGAAUUCCGUGAAUCAUCGAAUCUUUGAACGCACAUUGCGCCCGCCAGUAUUCUGGCGGGCAUGCCUGUUCGAGCGUCAUUUCAACCAUCAAGCCCCAGGCUUGUGUUGGGGACCUGCGGCUGCCGCAGGCCCUGAAAACCAGUGGCGGGCUCGCUGUCACACCGGGCGUAGUAGAUUUUAUCUCGCUCAGGGCGUGCUGCGGGUUCCGGCCGUUAAAAAGCCUUUUUUACCCAAGGUUGACCUCGGAUCAGGUAGGAAGACCCGCUGAACUUAAGCAUAUCAAUAAGCGGAGGA
rnacentral:misc_RNA from 1 species